rnacentral:rRNA from 1 species
AGGGUAUGAUGCUGUCUCAGAACGAACGCUGGCGGCGUGGACUAGGCAUGCAAGUCGCACGGGAAAUCUGAUCUCGAUCGGAGAGUAAAGUGGCGAAAGGGUGAGUAAUGCUUCGAUAACCUGCCUUCGAUACUGGCACAACCAAUCGAAAGUUUGGCUAAUUCCGGAUACGUUCCCAGGCUUCAUGGUUUGGGAAGAAAGACGGGGAUCCUCAAAAGGGACCUGUCGCUCGUAGAGGGGUCGAAGUCGUAUCAGCUUGUUGGUGAGGUAAUGGCUCACCAAGGCUUGGACGCGUACGGGGCCUGAGAGGGUGUUCCCGCACACUGGGACUGAGACACUGCCCAGACUCCUACGGGAGGCUGCAGUCGAGAGUCUUGCACAAUGGACGAAAGUCUGAUGCAGCGACGCCGCGUGGAGGAUGAAGGCCUUCGGGUUGUAAACUCCUGUUGGGGGGUAAGAUGGAAGAGAGUGUUAAUAUCAUUCUCUUUUGACCUAAACCCCUGAGGAAGCCACGGCUAACUCCGUGCCAGCAGCCGCGGUAAGACGGAGGUGGCGAGCGUUGUUCGGAAUCACUGGGCUUAAAGGGCACGCAGGCGGUUAAGUGUGUCCGGUGUGAAAUCCCUCGGCUCAACCGAGGAACUGCGCCGGAAACUACUUGACUUGAGGAUUGGAGAGGUGAGUGGAACUCCAGGUGUAGCGGUGAAAUGCGUAGAUAUCUGGAGGAACGCCGGAGGCGAAAGCGACUCACUGGACAAUUCCUGACGCUGAGGUGCGAAAGCCAGGGGAGCGAACGGGAUUAGAUACCCUGGUAGUCCACGCCGUAAACGAUGUCAACUAGCCGUUGGAUCCAUUUAAGGGUUUAGUGGCGCAGCUAACGCGAUAAGUUGACCGCCUGGGGAGUACGGCCGCAAGGUUAAAGCUCAAAGGAAUUGACGGGGGCCCGCACAAGCGGUGGAGCAUGUGGUUUAAUUCGAUGCAACGCGAAGAACCUUACCAGCCCUUGACAUCCUAGGGAUCCUGCAGAGAUGUGGGAGUGCCUUCGGGAGCCUAGAGACAGGUGCUGCAUGGCUGUCGUCAGCUCGUGUCGUGAGAUGUUGGGUUAAGUCCCGUAACGAGCGCAACCCUUGUCCUUAGUUGCCAGCGGUUCGGCCGGGAACUCUAAGGAGACUGCCGGUGAUAAACCGGAGGAAGGUGGGGAUGACGUCAAGUCAUCAUGGCCCUUAUCGGCUGGGCUACACACGUGCUACAAUGGUCGGUACAGAGGG